rnacentral:rRNA from 1 species
GGUAUCAAACAGGAUUAGAUACCCUGGUAGUCCACACAGUAAACGAUGAAUACUCGCUGUUUGCGAUAUACAGUAAGCGGCCAAGCGAAAGCAUUAAGUAUUCCACCUGGGGAGUACGCCGGCAACGGUGAACUUCAAAGGAAUUGACGGGGGCCCGCACAAGCGGAGGAACAUGUGGUUAAUUCGAUGAUACGCGAGGAACCUUACCCGGGCUUAAAUUGCAACAGAAUAUAUUGGAAACGGGAUAGCCGUAAGGCUGUUGUGAAGGUGGUGCAUGGUUGUCGUCAGCUCGUGCCGUGAGGUGUCGGCUUAAGUGCCAUAACGAGCGCAACCCUUAUCUUUAGUUACUAACAGGUCAUGGGGAGGACUCUAGAGAGACUGCCGUCGUAGGGAUGUGAGGAAGGUGGGGAGGACGUCAAAUCAGCGCGGCCGUUGCGUCCGGGGAUACACGCGUGUUAGCAAUGGGGGGUACAGAAGGGGGCUGGCGUGGUGACAGGAUGCUAAUCCCAAAAACCUCUCUCAGUUCGGAUCGAAGUCUGCAACCAGAGUUAGGAAAGGGGGAGUUGGCUAGUAAUCGCGCGUCAGCCAAGGGGCGGAGAAUAGCGUUCCC